UUUCUCCGCGCAAAUGAUGCAUUGUCCGCAAACACGGCGGCUGCAACUCUGCGUACAUUUCGCAACUCUCAUUUAAUUUUGUUUCCACAGAAAAUGCC
ensembl:ncRNA Y53F4B.54 ncRNA